GGCCUACCAUGGUUUCAACGGGUAACGGGGAAUAAGGGUUCGAUUCCGGAGAGGGAGCCUGAGAAACGGCUACCACAUCCAAGGAAGGCAGCAGGCGCGCAAAUUACCCACUCCCGGCACGGGGAGGUAGUGACGAAAAAUAACGAUACGGAACUCUACAUGAGGCUCCGUAAUCGGAAUGAGUACACUUUAAAUCCUUUAACGAGGAUCUAUUGGAGGGCAAGUCUGGUGCCAGCAGCCGCGGUAAUUCCAGCUCCAAUAGCGUAUAUUAAAGUUGUUGCAGUUAAAAAGCUCGUAGUUGAAUUUCGGGGUCUGUCCAUUGGUCGGGCUUCACGGUCCGUACUGGUGAGAUGGGUUCCUACCUUCUGAAUAACCGGCAUGCCAUUCAGUUGGUGCGCCGGGGAAGCAGAGCUAUUACCUUGAAAAAAUUAGAGUGCUUAAAGCAGGCUAGUGCUUGAAUAGAUUAGCAUGGAAUAAUGAAAUAGGACGGCAUGGUUCUAUUUUGUUGGUUUCUAGGAUCACCGUAAUGAUUAAUAGGGAUAGUUGGGGGCAUUAGUAUUCAAUUGUCAGAGGUGAAAUUCUUGGAUUUAUUGAAGACUAACUUCUGCGAAAGCAUUUGCCAAGGAUGUUUUCAUUAAUCAAGAACGAAAGUUAGGGGAUCGAAGACGAUCAGAUACCGUCGUAGUCUUAACCAUAAACUAUGCCGACUAGGGAUCGGACGAUGUUAAUUUUUUAAUGACUCGUUCGGCGCCUUACG
rnacentral:rRNA from 1 species